rnacentral:rRNA from 1 species
CUUAGUGGCAGACGGGUGAGUAACAUGUGGGUAUCUACCCUUUGGCCUGGAAUAACACGAGGAAACUUGUGCUAAUACCGGAUAAGUCUUUACGGAGAAAGCCUUAUGCACCAUUGGAGGAGCCCGCACUUGAUUAGUUUGUUGGUAGGGUAAUGGCCUACCAAGACUAUGAUCAAUAGCUGAUUUGAGAGGAUGAUCAGCCACAUUGGGACUGAGACACGGCCCAAACUCCUACGGGAGGCAGCAGUGGGGAAUCUUGCACAAUGGAGGAAACUCUGAUGCAGCGAUGCCGCGUGAGUGAAGAAGGCCUUUGGGUUGUAAAGCUCUUUCGUCGGGGAAGAAAAUGACUGUACCCGAAUAAGAAGGUCCGGCUAACUUCGUGCCAGCAGCCGCGGUAAUACGAAGGGACCUAGCGUA